CAUCUCCUUCCCCUUCUCGACUGAAAGAAAGAAGAGAUGAGGAAAAGAAAGAAACAAAAGAAACAAAGAGCAAAGAACGGCAGAUUACUGGAAGACUUAGAGGGCAAAACAGAGGAAGAAAUAGAAAUGAUGAAGUUAAUGGGAUUUGCCUCCUUUGACUCCACAAAAGUAAGUGGAUGGCUCUGUAAAUGCCUAUGCCAUAAAUGUCUCUCAGAAGAGGAAGUACAGUACAUGAAUCGAAAAGGUGGAUUCAACAGACCUUUGGAUUUCAUUGCAUGAGAAUUGAAGUGUUGAAGGAUGAUUUUUUUUCCCCUCAUCUUGGUCAGAGAGUGGAUUUUGUAUUUUGUAUUUAACUUGCAUUCAAAAAACAGGAUCUCAGUUCUCCUUUCUUGUAAAGUAAGAAAAUCUUAUUUAUGAUAUAUGCAGUUAACUUACCUUGCCUCAACAGAAGAAAGGUUAAAUAUUACAUUUUUUUCUUUUAGGAAAUAUCAUUUGUGGCAGGCGUCAACCCCAUUUUAUUUGUCCUUAUUCCUGUGGAAGCAGUAUAUGUUUUCUUCCUGAAUGCUCAUUAGGACUUCUUAAAAAACAUGAAAGUAAUUUGGAAGUAAGUUUAUCCAAUAAAGCAGUAUUUCUACCCUUUUAGAUUUGAUAAAUAUUUUUAUUACUAAAGAAUCUCCCCAGACAUUUUCUUUUUUUUUUCACACAUAGAUUUAAGUAUCUUGAUUGUUAGUAGUCUAAAAAUGGGAAGAAUGAAAAAGCAUAACUAGAUUUUUCUAUCUUCUGUGGUCGCCCGCCCCCCCCCAAAAAAA
rnacentral:lncRNA from 1 species